rnacentral:rRNA from 1 species
CCUACGGGUGGCAGCAGUGAGGAAUAUUGGUCAAUGGCCGCAGGGCUGAACCAGCCAAGUCGCGUGAGGGAUGACGGUCCUAUGGAUUGUAAACCUCUUUUGUCAGGGAGCAAAGGGCGCCACGUGUGGCGCUUUGCGAGUACCUGACGAAAAAGCAUCGGCUAACUCCGUGCCAGCAGCCGCGGUAAUACGGAGGAUGCGAGCGUUAUCCGGAUUUAUUGGGGUUAAAGGGUGCGCAGGCGGAAUGUAAAGUCAGCGGUAAAAUUUCGGGGCUCAACCCCGUCGUGCCGUUGAAACUGGCGGUCUUGAGUGAGGGAGAAGUAGGCGGAAUGGGUGGUGUAGCGGUGAAAUGCAUAGAGAUCACGCAGAACUCCGAUUGCGAAGGCAGCAUACCGGCGCUCAACUGACGCUCAUGCACGAAAGCGUGGGUAUCGAACAGGAUUAGAUACCCCAGUAGUC